rnacentral:lncRNA from 1 species
CACGUUGCAAGAUGCAAUACUUUUAAUUGAGGAAAGAUGGGCGAGCUCGUAGAGGAUUUAUUGAUAGUUGCAUCAAUUGUAAGGUUGUUGUAGGAAAGAUCAAGGGAAGUGAGUUUUUGGAGUGUUUGAAACCAACUUAACUGGACCCUUCCACUCAAUUUAUUAAAUGAAAGGUCGAGGAAAUAAAAUGAUGAAAGUUCAAAAAUUGAAUGGGGGAUGGGACCUACUAGUUGGUUAUCGGACAGAUCAAGAUCGUUCAAUGACGGAAUGGAAAAUAAAGAUGGUGGGAUGCUUCCGUGGAGAAAAUUGUUAUACAAGUAUAUAGAAUUCAGAGUCGAAGAAGUAUUAGCUGAAAACUCUGGAAUUUGACCAUAGAAACCAGCAUCGGAUAAGUCUAGAUACCUCAAAUUGAUGAGGUUGCCAAGUGCACCUGGAAUAGUUGUGUUGAAGAAGUUGUGGGACAGAUCCAGUUCCUCGAGAUAUCCAAGACUAAACAGAGCCGAAGAAUCGUCGAUUCCACCUCCUACAAUUAUCUGUUCAAAGCUCAAGUCGAGUACGACAACACGACCAAGGCCAUUGAGAUCACAUUUUAUACCAGGCCACUCACAGCAAUCCGUGCUCGAAUUCCACUCAACCAGUCGAUUUUCUGAGCCUAUACUUUUGCUUAAGUUGAGACAAUGUUUGAAUUGUAAGAGUAGGGAUUGUUGGUCUUCUCGGCAGCGGCCAUCGACCGAAAGAACAUGGUCGCUGCCCAUCAAAAGGAGAAGAAAAGGUAUGAAUAAAAAUGAAGAUAUGAACAAAGUGAUGAAUGAGGAAGCCAUGAGCAAAAGGGGAAAUGGGAAUGGGGAUAAAGUGUCAAGGUAAGAUGUGUUGUAUAUGAAGCAUGGAGUUUGGGCAGUUUAUAAAGAGCUGAUGCACAUGUGGAAAAAUCAUCAAGUGGAAAGAUGAGGGAAGAAGAUAGAAAAGUUUGAAUGGUGAGGAAUGAAGUCUACUUGGAAGUCAAGUCUUUGGUCACUUAUGUGGAAUUAAACAACUUUCUCCAUCUGCAAGUGGUGAUAGAGAACUCAAUGAAAUUUUCAUGAGUUUAGUUUAGAGUUAUAUUAUUAUUAUUAUUAUUAUUUAUUAUUAUUGUUAUCGAUGAGUAGAUGCCGUAUAUUAGUAUUAGGGAGUUGGGAAUAGUGAAAGAUAUUAGAUUAUUUGAGGUGAUUAUCUCCAUAUAAUUUAGUUAUUUUCUCUUAUAAAUUAUUUAGAUUAUUUUCUUAAAAGGUUUCCUGUUGAUGUGAGAACAUAUAUUUCAUUUAUUAGUAAGGUACGUGCUUGCUAAAUAAAUAAUAAUAGUAUAAUUUUUUGGUGGUAAGUUUAAUUUAGAGUUGUGUUUAAUUAGUUCGGCGAGAUAAACGCCUCAAGCAGUCAAUUUGGUGCAUGGGGUGGAAUAUAAAGAUGCGGUGCAGAUUAAUUGGAAUGUGAUUAGGUAUAUCUUUUUAAAUUUCUCUUUUAAAGCCCUUCAAUGUAAUUAAGAUGGUUAGGAACUAAAUAUCCCCAGUGACAAUAAAUAUAGUUAUUUCUCUCAACAUAAUAGUAAAUAUAUAUAUACAAAACCUACUCAUGAUACUUUAAUUAGUUAAAACAAAUUUGAAUGUACCGUCCGCAAUAUAGUUUUCUAAAAAUUUGGAUUGUCCUCAAUCAUUUUUUUUUCUUUUUCGAAAAGCCUCGAUCAUAUAUUAUGGUUAUUAUUUUUGGUUUAUGAUAAUAAUUUCUCACUGGUUAUUAUAAUUAACUAUAAGAACAUUAUCUAUGAACUGAACAACAAAUAAUCGUUCUCUGGUUAUUAUAACUCGAUCAUAUUUUAUUGUUUUGGUUUAGUAUUCAAUAUAACAUUAAUCAUACAUUCCUCGUGGCAUUACAUUAUGUCAACACCAGCACGAUUCUUUGAAGGUUCGUCUCGGUUAAGUGUUAACUUGGGCAUUGGUUACUUACGUUACAGUAUUGACAUCAAUGACUAUCCAAUAAUAUUAGUUAUGAUCAGAUGAGUUUGAUUACACUUUAUUACAAUAACAAAGGCAUAAAAAAGCAUAACUGUGCAUGUGGUAGUUUCUGACUUGUUACUGUCUGCUAUCGUUGUCUUCGUUUUAUACUCGUUUGUCUAAGACGAUCAUUGCAGUCUUUCACGUAUAAUUUUGGGAACAUCCAAAGAAUUAGGGAAAUCAUCUUCGGCCAAUACCAAACACAUGAAGCAGUUUCUAGGUAAGAUGUGUCUUAUUUAGUUGGAGAAAACCAACUAUGCAAGGAAGAAGAUAGAAAAAUUUGAAUGGCGAGGAAUGAAGUCUACUGGCAAGUCUUUAGGCGUGAGAUUUGUGUUAGUUUCCCUUAUUGUUUUGUUCACUUAUGGAGAAUUAAACAGCUACCAAUGAAAAUGGUGACAGAGAACUGAAACACGUAGCAGAGACUGCCGGAUCCAAUCGUGACGGUGCGAAGAGUCAAUGCAAUCGCCGGAUUGAGUGCCAAUGUUGCUAAGAUAGAUACCAGACCUCCAUUGUUCUUCGACUGGGACGUCUGCAACUGUCGGAAUCAUCUCAAAUUAAAGGAGGGAAGAAGAUGGAAAAAAUUGGAUUGUGAAGGAAUUGAGUUUACUGGAAAGUCUUUGGCGUGAGCCGUGAGGUAUGUGUUAGAUUCACUUCAAUGUUCUGUUCACUUGCGUGGAAUUAAUAUAGAAAUGUUUGCCUCUUCCAUCGAGUGGUGAGGACGGACCUUUACCUUAUGCAUGAAGAUACUUAAUCGAAACUAGUAAAUUAUUAUUAAUAUAUGAAUUCAUGUACCUUAUCCAUGUAUUUUGAUCAUUAUAUGAACUAUUGGUGAUCGAAACAUUUAUUGACUCAAAUUAAUUUGAAUUGAAAAUUUAUAUAAUGAGUAAUCAAAUGAUCGAUACAUUUUUCAAACAUAAUAUUAAGUUAAAAUAUACAAAGACAAAAAUUCUUGUAUUGGCCCGUCGAAAUUGUUGCUUGACAAAUCAAUAGCCUUGAAUAUUGUCAAGACCAUCACAAACUCCAAUUCGAGACCCUUGUUGCUCACGAUUAUGGAAUCUUGAUAAUAACCACUUGUUAAACCAAAAAUGUAACUCAUCCCAACCACCACUAGUUUCGCUCAUGAAACGUAAUAUUCGAGGUGGAUUCGGUCAAGCUUUGCUUCGGCGAUCCAACAAAACAUGGAGGAUGCAACGGGUUUACAUUUCUUUGAAUAUACUUUGUUCUCUUGGCCUUUGUUUCAUAUUGUUGGAAUUAGGAGGGACAUGAAUAAAGUAAAUUAUUUAAGUAAAUUUAAUUUUGUAAUGAUAAAUUAAUAAAAUAAAAUAAAUGAAAAGGAAACUAUAUUGUAGAUCUUAAUAAUAAAAAUUGUUAAAAUAUUAUUAAAAUGGAAGUGUUUGGUAUGUUGCCAGUAAACAUAUUCCCACUCAAAUCUAGGACAGAGAGAUAUUUCAUGGUUUUUAUGAGACAAGAUGGGAUUGUUCCAUUCAAAUGGUUGUUUGAAAGAUUAAUGACAUCAAGAUAUACAGCAUCACACAUACUUGUUGGAAUAGUUCCUGUGAAGCUAUUAUUUGAUAGUGAAAGAAAGUUCAAAUAAAGAUUGUUGAAAAUUGGGGCUGGAAUGGAACCAUUGAGAUGAUUGUGGGAGAAAUCUAUGCACCAUAUGUAGGAUGAUGGUAAUGGAAUGAAUGGAAAGUUUCCUUGGAGUUGGUUGUCAUGCAUGUCCAAAAAUUUAGGAGUAGAAGCAAAAUGUUGGACCUCAAAACCUACUAGGUUGUUGUGUGAAAGAUUGAGAUAGUCUAGAGUAGUUGAAUUCAUAAUCCAAUGAGGUACUACCCCAUAGAUAUUGUUGUCAGAAAGGUCUAGGUAGAAAAGACUUGGUUGGUUGCCCAACUCGGGAAUUGUUCUAAGAUUGCACGAUGGAAGAUGCAAUUGUCUUAAUUGAGGAAAGAUGGGCGAGCUCGUAGAGGAUUUAUUGAUAGUUGCAUCAAUUGUAAGGUUGUUGUAGGAAAGAUCAAGGGAAGUGAGUUUUUGGAGUGUUUGAAACCAACUUAACUGGACCCUUCCACUCAAUUUAUUAAAUGAAAGGUCGAGGAAAUAAAAUGAUGAAAGUUCAAAAAUUGAAUGGGGGAUGGGACCUACUAGUUGGUUAUCGGACAGAUCAAGAUCGUUCAAUGACGGAAUUGAAAAUAAAGAUGGUGGGAUGCUUCCGUGGAGAAAAUUGUUAUACAAGUAUAUAGAAUUCAGAGUCGAAGAAGUAUUAGCUGAAAACUCUGGAAUUUGACCAUAGAAACCAGCAUCGGAUAAGUCUAGAUACCUCAAAUUGAUGAGGUUGCCAAGUGCACCUGGAAUAGUUGUGUUGAAGAAGUUGUGGGACAGAUCCAGUUCCUCGAGAUAUCCAAGACUAAACAGAGCCGAAGAAUCGUCGAUUCCACCUCCUACAAUUAUCUGUU